UUUCCGUAGGUGAACCUGCGGAAGGAUCAUUAUUGAAUGAAACACUUCUGGCUUUAUGCUGUUGUGCUGGCCCUUUGGGCAAUGUGCACACGGCUCUGGUCACUUGUUUCUUCUGUUCCACCUGUGCACUGCCUGUAGACACGCUGUGUCUAUGAUAUUUGUUAACACACAACAAUGUUAGUUGGCAUGUUAUAUAUAAUAAUAAAAUAUACAACUUUCAACAACGGAUCUCUUGGCUCUCGCAUCGACGAAGAACGCAGC
rnacentral:misc_RNA from 1 species